rnacentral:tRNA from 2 species
GGCUAAAUAGCAUAUUGGUAAUGCAUUGGAUUGCAAAUCCAAUAAAAUUGGUUCAAUUCCAAUUUUGGCUU